AGUCUACAUGCUGCUACGCAAAUAUGCAGAUAAGGGAAGAUCAAAGGAUUUUGCCUCGUGCUUGAAACAGAAGGAAGCCUUACACGGGGCACUUGGAGUGCAGAAGGAGUGUGCCCUGGCUGCCAGCCAAGUGAAAGGAGACAGCUGAGAGGAAUUCCAGCUGUUAUGGGGAAUGAUGCUGCAGAAGGACUGCUUAGUUUGGAGCAUUUCUAUUCCAGUGGUGCAAUGGCAAGUAAAUCAACAGGUUUCAGCAAUCUGUAUUU